UUUAUGGAGAGUUUGAUCCUGGCUCAGGAUGAACGCUGGCGGCGUGCCUAAUACAUGCAAGUCGAGCGAACGGACGAGAAGCUUGCUUCUCUGAUGUUAGCGGCGGACGGGUGAGCAACACGUGGAUAACCUACCUAUAAGACUGGGAUAACUUCGGGAAACCGGAGCUAAUACCGGAUAAUAUUUUGAACCGCAUGGUUCAAAAGUGAAAGACGGUCUUGCUGUCACUUAUAGAUGGAUCCGCGCUGCAUUAGCUAGUUGGUAAGGUAACGGCUUACCAAGGCAACGAUGCAUAGCCGACCUGAGAGGGUGAUCGGCCACACUGGAACUGAGACACGGUCCAGACUCCUACGGGAGGCAGCAGUAGGGAAUCUUCCGCAAUGGGCGAAAGCCUGACGGAGCAACGCCGCGUGAGUGAUGAAGGUCUUCGGAUCGUAAAACUCUGUUAUUAGGGAAGAACAUAUGUGUAAGUAACUGUGCACAUCUUGACGGUACCUAAUCAGAAAGCCACGGCUAACUACGUGCCAGCAGCCGCGGUAAUACGUAGGUGGCAAGCGUUAUCCGGAAUUAUUGGGCGUAAAGCGCGCGUAGGCGGUUUUUUAAGUCUGAUGUGAAAGCCCACGGCUCAACCGUGGAGGGUCAUUGGAAACUGGAAAACUUGAGUGCAGAAGAGGAAAGUGGAAUUCCAUGUGUAGCGGUGAAAUGCGCAGAGAUAUGGAGGAACACCAGUGGCGAAGGCGACUUUCUGGUCUGUAACUGACGCUGAUGUGCGAAAGCGUGGGGAUCAAACAGGAUUAGAUACCCUGGUAGUCCACGCCGUAAACGA
rnacentral:rRNA from 1 species